AGCUUUGAACAUUAGAAAUCACCUUAUGAUCUAGACCCUACACAUUGUAAAAAUAUAGAAUGUCGCGCCCCAUUUUUUCGCAAAAAGGGUUUCGAUCAUGACCUAAUAACUCUGUUGAAAUUUUGAAAUUGAAGAGUAAUCACCUAACGAAUUAAGGCACAUUAAGACACCUAUCUAACCUACUUAAGUCAAAUUUAAGGUCAACGAACCAAAGAUCAGCGCAAGGGUUCAAAUUACCUCG
rnacentral:misc_RNA from 1 species